rnacentral:rRNA from 1 species
GAUGAACGCUGGCGGCGUGCCUAAUACAUGCAAGUCGAGCGAACAGACGAGGAGCUUGCUCCUCUGACGUUAGCGGCGGACGGGUGAGUAACACGUGGAUAACCUACCUAUAAGACUGGGAUAACUUCGGGAAACCGGAGCUAAUACCGGAUAAUAUAUUGAACCGCAUGGUUCAAUAGUGAAAGACGGUUUUGCUGUCACUUAUAGAUGGAUCCACGCCGCAUUAGCUAGUUGGUAAGGUAACGGCUUACCAAGGCAACGAUGCGUAGCCGACCUGAGAGGAUGAUCGGCCACACUGGAACUGAGACACGGUCCAGACUCCUACGGGAGGCAGCAGUAGGGAAUCUUCCGCAAUGGGCGAAAGCCUGACGGAGCAACGCCGCGUGAGUGAUGAAGGUCUUCGGAUCGUAAAACUCUGUUAUUAGGGAAGAACAAAUGUGUAAGUAACUAUGCACGUCUUGACGGUACCUAAUCAGAAAGCCACGGCUAACUACGUG